AACGAACGCUGGCGGCAGGCCUAACACAUGCAAGUCGAGCGGACCCUUCGGGGUUAGCGGCGGACGGGUGAGUAACGCGUGGGAAUAUGCCCUCCUCUACGGAAUAGUCCUGGGAAACUGGGGGUAAUACCGUAUACGCCCUUUGGGGGAAAGAUUUAUCGGGGAAGGAUUAGCCCGCGUUGGAUUAGGUAGUUGGUGGGGUAAUGGCCUACCAAGCCGACGAUCCAUAGCUGGUUUGAGAGGAAGAUCAGCCACACUGGGACUGAGACACGGCCCAGACUCCUACGGAAGGCAGCAGUGGGGAAUCGUAGACAAUGGGGGCAACCCUGAUCUAGCCAUGCCGCGUGAGUGAUGAAGGCAUUAGGGUUGUAAAGCUCUUUCAGCUGGGAAGAUAAUGACGGUACCAGCAGAAGAAGCCCCGGCUAACUCCGUG
rnacentral:rRNA from 1 species